GACGAACGCUGGCGGCGUGCUUAACACAUGCAAGUCGAACGGAAAGGCCCUGCUUUUGUGGGGUGCUCGAGUGGCGAACGGGUGAGUAACACGUGAGUAACCUGCCAUUGACUUUGGGAUAACUUCAGGAAACUGGGGCUAAUACCGGAUAGGAGCUCCUGCUGCAUGGUGGGGGUUGGAAAGUUUCGGCGGUUGGGGGUGGACUCGCGGCUUAUCAGCUUGUUGGUGGGGUAGUGGCUUACCAAGGCUUUGACGGGUAGCCGGCCUGAGAGGGUGACCGGCCACAUUGGGACUGAGAUACGGCCCAGACUCCUACGGGAGGCAGCAGUGGGGAAUAUUGCACAAUGGGCGGAAGCCUGAUGCAGCAACGCCGCGUGCGGGAUGACGGCCUUCGGGUUGUAAACCGCUUUCGCCUGUGACGAAGCGUGAGUGACGGUAAUGGGUAAAGAAGCACCGGCUAACUACGUG
rnacentral:rRNA from 1 species